rnacentral:rRNA from 1 species
GAUGAACGCUGGCGGCGUGCCUAAUACAUGCAAGUCGAGCGAACAGACGAGGAGCUUGCUCCUUCGACGUUAGCGGCGGACGGGUGAGUAACACGUAGGUAACCUACCUAUAAGACUGGGAUAACUUCGGGAAACCGGAGCUAAUACCGGAUAAUAUUUCGAACCGCAUGGUUCGAUAGUGAAAGAUGGCUUUGCUAUCACUUAUAGAUGUACCUGCGCCGUAUUAGCUAGUUGGUAAGGUAACGGCUUACCAAGGCAACGAUACGUAGCCGACCUGAGAGGGUGAUCGGCCACACUGGAACUGAGACACGGUCCAGACUCCUACGGGAGGCAGCAGUAGGGAAUCUUCCGCAAUGGGCGAAAGCCUGACGGAGCAACGCCGCGUGAGUGAUGAAGGUCUUCGGAUCGUAAAACUCUGUUAUUAGGGAAGAACAAACGUGUAAGUAACUGUGCACGUCUUGACGGUACCUAAUCAGAAAGCCACGGCUAACUACGUG